GAACACAGCUUUGCCUUUGACUUCAGUAAACAGAUACUUUGAAGUAAUUAACACUUACUUGAUCCACAAAUACGUUUAGCUGUAGUAGGACCUUAUUCUGUAGACUAAUUCCUUUUCUGUUCAUAGACAAUGUACCAUAUUGUUGACUUUUUGGACACGGGAGACACAGAAGUUGUUCCAGCCUCUUGGGUGGAAAAUGGAAGAAGCUACUGGCCUCCCUACAAAGCCAGGGAGCGAUGCAACAGGGCCAUAAUGGGAGCAGACCCACCUGAAGAAUCGUGGGCAAAUCAUAACAUCAGGAUCCGGGCAACUAAAAAUACAUUUAGUGAGGCACGGCUGCUGCUACCAAGGGCACUGCUGACAUCAGAUCUUCAAACUGAAGAUGAGGAGGACCAACGUCCAGCUUAUAGGAGAAGGAAGAGAAGAGGCACAAACAGAAUUUGGGACUCAGAGAGCGAAGAUGACAGCACACAUCUUCAACCCAGAGGGGUAAACACCAGGGCACCUUUAGGUUUACCCCCAGCACCAGUUAUUGCUCCUCCAACUCCCACCAGACCAGCCAUUGCUACAAGUGUCCCCAGACAAAACUUGAGCAUGGCAACCCCUGACCGGCCCAGGGUAAACAACCAGCCCACCAGACCAGCCAUUGCCACAAGUGUCCCCAGACAAAACUUUAGCAUGGCAACCCCUGACCGGCCCAGGGUAAACAACCAGGCCAUGUGUGAUCCAAUUCUCCGUGACAUUUUGACAACAAUGGAGACUAUCAAGCAUCAACAGCAAAUGAUUUUGCUACAUUUGCAAACAACUCGUCAACCAAUGGAGGUGCCAGAUGUUUCUGGCAUUCCAUUAACAUCGCUGGAUGAACUGAUCAAGCUUGAGGACAGCAUUGCUUCACAGGUGGAAUACAAACGAAAAUUGGUAUGUGAAUGUUCAUGUAUUUGUUGAAUUGAUAUUUGCUGAGACUUUUGACCUAUGGUUCUUUUUAAAGAAAAAAAUUAAGAUAUGUGAUAUUAUAGAUUCAGUGCCUAUAAAAAUUAUUAUAAGCUAAUGGGGGCAAUUCUUUUCCUCUUUCAGGUCACCUUUUUUGGGCUGGCCUGGGGGUUGACAAUAAAGGAGACAGUGUGGAGAAUAAUGGCCAAACUAAUGACAAAUAAACUAGCAAAGCAAAUCAACUGGCGAGGGUUAAAUGGCAAGUAUGGCUUUGAGCCACUUGCCAUUAAAGAUGUUGUCCUCAAAUCUGUGCGAUGCAAUGCAAGUACUGCAUCUGCAUCCGAUGGAGAUGUAGAAAAGUUUAUUAAAAGGUGGCUGCAGCUUGCAUCGGACCGAGAUGGAGGAAGACGAGAGCGGGCAAUGAGACAAGCUAAUUCUUAAGUACAUCUCAAGCUUCAAAGGGGCAUGCUUGAGGAGGCUGCGGUCAUUACACACACAUACACAAACUGUAUUUAUUCAAAUAAAUUCUUAAAAAUG